GUCCCCAGGCAGCCACAGAGAUGGCCGUGCCCUCUAUUGCCUCUUGAGUACGGCAAGAGAGAAAACUCCAGACUGUGGAUUCCGAGCAGCGGAGCCAGCCUCCGGCAGUUCUGGAAGAAGGAGAUGGGGGGUGGGGCUCCCAACCGGCCAGUUCCAAGCAGCGAGGCCUUGGGGGCGUGGCUUCACCCCGUGGAACUAGAGAAAACCUCAGGAGCUCUGCUGAUGUUCCAACGCCAGCUUCCUGGUUGUACUGUUGGGCUGAGUUACGCAACACGUUACUGCGGGGCUCACAGAGGCGCCUGGAACGCGGUACGUGGUCCGAAGGAGCUGGCUCCCGUGUUACGGUUGCCAUGAGGCGUGAUGUAACAACAUAGGGCACCGGCCAGGAACAGAGGGACCUCCUCGGAAGGAUUAACUGCCCACCUGUCACUGCCGGGCGGCGAAUGACCUUGGGCAAGUCACAAGACGUCCUGGGGUCUGCCGGCCUCCUUUGUAAAAAGAGGUCUCUGGUGUGGACAUCUAGGGGACAGUCUGCCCACCACUCGUGCGUGCGUUUUCCCGAGACCCCCUCCUGGUGCCCACCCCUACCCUCUUUGGGAGAGCUUCUGGCUCUUCCUUUAGACUUCCCUAAAAAAAGCCUCGUCAGCCUUCUGGACUCCAUGCGCCCCAGUGGGGCCGCAUCCACGGUGUGACCCAGGGCCACCGGCACCAUUUGCAAAAUGAACACGCGGGCCCCUUGGUCAACCACUGCUAAGAAUUUCAUUAAGCCAAGUGGGGGCCCCUCUGAGUAUCUCCCCCUGGAGCCCUGGAGGGUCUCCCCAACCCUCCUCUGUGGGACCUUGUUCCUCAUCUUGUCUGACUUCCUCCUCCCGCCCAACUUCCCUACCUUCCCGCCAGUGUCCCCCGGGAACUUUCCUAACAAAGCGCUUUCAACAAACCCUCCUCCCCGGGUCUGUCUCAGAGGGAUCCAACCCAGACCCAGAGCAGUGCGCAGGAGGCUGGGUAUUCCAGAAGCCGAGCUGAGCUGACGCCUCACCCCAGAAUCCCCCGCCCCCACCCAUCUCCAGGGUUCAAGGGCUUGAGCGCAUGUGAUUUAAGAUCACGGGGCGGGGCUGUUAAAACUACGAAUCCUACCCGAGCAGGUAAGUUCGUUUCUGUUUUGUAAGGGGCGCUUUAUUUUGAGAACAUUUGGCAUAGGGACAUGCCUCCCAGAGACAAAUCUGGAAGAAAUGCGUAACAACACAGACACGGAAAGGGGCUUGACACAGCUCACAAAGGCAGUGACCUCUUCCAGGGUGGGCUCCGUGGGGUCUCCGGGUCUAGCGGGGCUGCUAGGUGUGCUGUGUUCCCCGGAUGGUCACACGGGGACCCAGUGCUCCCGCGAAGUCACCCAGCCAGGCGGGUCAUGCUGGCAUCGAGAGCCGGGUGUCCUGUGUCUGAGUAUCUCUGUUGAGCUGGGCAUGGCCUCCGGGGGUCAAAUCGUGUUUGGUCCAACGGUUUCCAAGGCUUAGCAGAAAGUGGAAGAAUGUUCCUGCGCGUUGGCUGGAAGAGACGCAGAGAAGGAAUGAGAGCUGCUGCUGGGGGCAGGACAGAGGUCACGGUCUGUGCCACCGCCCCCCCCCCCCAUACCAGGAAGAUAACCAGUUUCCCUAGGACUGAAUUCUUUUUUUUUAAUUUUUUGUAAUGUUUUAUUUAUUUUGGAGACAGAGAGAGACAGAGCAUGAACAGGGGAGGGGCAGAGAGAGAGGGAGACACAGAACCCGAAGCAGGCUCCAGGCUCCGAGCGGUCAGCACAGAGCCCGACGCGGGGCUCGAACCCACGGACCGUGAGAUCAUGACCUGAGCUGAAGUCGGACGCUUAAGCGGCUGAGCCACCCAGGCGCCCCAAUCCCUAGGACUGAAUUCUUAACUUACCAUCAGACUCUCUGGGCAUCAUCUUGUUUAGUUCAACGCAUCCCUCUCCGUCAUGCAAACUGCCUCUCACGCCCCACGCUACCCCGUCGCCCUCCCCGCACCCCCGCGCAUCCCCAUGGGAGGCCACUGCCCGAGGUGGGUCAGACCCACCCCAAGGACCGUUCCUGGCAUCAGCAGGUAAGAGACACGCUGGCACCAAUCCUCAAGGGCUCGAGAUCUUGCCGGAGGACUCGUGCCAGAAUGUUCUGGAAUGUGAAGCCUGAUGUUUGCCUUUCGAGGACAUUCUGGGGGGCGUUAGCUGCUUUGAAGGGCUUCUGUUUACCGUGGGCACACGUGUGGGGCCUUCACGGGGUGGGGCGGGCAUUCAGGCUUUCUUAGCAGAUGCUCCCGGUCACAGGCACACAUCUCGCUUUGGAGCAUCUCAUCUGAGAGCAGGGCCUUCCCUGGGGAACCCUCUGGUGCCAGCCUCGCCGCCGUCAUUCCGUGGUGGCCUCCCCGUGGCUCCUCGAAGCCACGGUCUCUCCUGCCUUUGGGACUCCUACUCUUCCAGCUACCCUGACCAGGCCCCGUUCCCCAGGCCGCCCCAAGGAGGCUCUUCUGUCCCGUCUCAGAUAUUGGCUCGGACGUGAGCUCCACGCACGGCCCCUCCCCAACCUGGCUACUCUCCCUCACGCCCCCGUCCGUUCCCUUCAUGACACGCAUUCCUUGCUGACUUGUGUGGUCUCCUGCCGGGGGGAGGCCCCUAGGAGCAGGAACCCCGGCCGUCCCGAAGGGCUGCUGAGGAACCGAGUGCCCGGCACGCGCCUGUCUCGGAGCUGGCACUUGACUGUAUCGUGUGACCGAGGGAGGGACAGAGGGACAGACUCCGGGGGGCAGCGGGGGACUCGUCGGCCGUUCACGGAGGCCCUAAAACCAGGCAUGGAAAGGAAGGCUGCAGCCUAGUCUUUGGAUUUAGGUCCGGGUGGUCUGGAAACUUCUGGUGAACAGAACAGCCACUUCUCGUAUACGCCUACUUGGGACACCGCAAGGGAAUUAUGAAAUUCCGGCCCCAGGUAAAACCCCACUCUCCCCCUCCCACCGGUCACCUUGGUGUGCAUGGAGUUUCCAGACGCUGCGUGACGGGCAAUAUCGCAGCGGAUCGAGUGCAGGAGUCGACGUGAGCGUCUCUCUGCUCCCCAGGCACAAAUGAGAGAUAACUGCAGAGAUGUGAACCGAUGCCCAGCUUCAAUUUGUACGUGCGUUGGAAAGUACAGUGACCUUUAAAGGAAACGCUAUUUCUCUUGAA